AUUUCUUCUCACCAACGACCACUGGCGCGACCGCCAAAAUUACCAUCACUAUAACCAUUACCUCAGCCACAACAACAUAGCGCCGCCAACAAAGCCACCACCACCUCAUGACAACCUGUCAAAACCACAACCCACCAAUAUAUUCAUCACCACAACAGAGAAACGGCACCACUUGCCUCUGCAACCACUACUAUCAACAUCAAUCACCACAGCGACCACCACCACCAUUGGUCGCCACAGCGAAUACCACCAUCACUAUCAAUUACCACCGCCACUGCCAUCACCUCACCUCACCACCACAGCCACCAAACAAAAUCGGAUCCAAAGAAUUGAAUACCACCGCACACACCAAUUACCACCACUGAAUCGCUAGCAGAAGAGCAAAGAAAAUAGAAAAAGUGGUUCGGGAUACCACUAUAUCUCUCAAGGCCUGAGAGCGAUUGGGAAGUGGCGCACCUCGAGGCAGCACCAUUCAUUAGCAGAAGAAAAUGGAAUUAAAAGAAAAACUAGUUCAACACAUUAAUGCUGCAACGGUGUGCACAGCGACGUUGCCUGGAGGCGGUGUGUUCUUCUGCCCGCGGAGCUCUCUUGGCGACAGCGUCUGCGAAUGAUGAGAGAAAGAGGAGAUACGGGAGAAGGAUAGGGAUAGGGAUAGGGAGAAUGAAGGGAUUAGAUUUUGAUUGUAAUUAAUUUAAUUUUAUAAUUAUGAUAAAUUAAAAAAUCCGAUUUUUGAAAUACUAAACUUUGCAUAUAAUUUAUGAAAUGAGAUUUUGAAAAGUAGGCUUUUAUGUAAUCUUCAUAAUUUAAAUUUCAUUUUCUAUGGAAUUCUCACCCCAGUCAAACAGGCCCUAAGAUCUUCCCGAACAAGGAGUUUUACUUGUUUAUAGAAUUGUAAUAAAGGUCACUUUUUUACUGAAUUGUCAAAAAUGGAAAAAG
rnacentral:lncRNA from 1 species